rnacentral:rRNA from 1 species
UACGUAGGGUGCAAGCGUUAAUCGGAAUUACUGGGCGUAAAGCGCACGUAGGUGGCGACGUAAGUCGGGUGUGAAAGCCCCGGGCUCAACCUGGGAAUUGCAUUCGAGACUGCAUUGCUGGAGUACGGAAGAGGAAGGCGGAAUUCCCGGUGUAGCGGUGAAAUGCGUAGAUAUCAGGAGGAACACCUGUGGUGUAGACGGCUUACGUGGACCGCAACUGACGCUGAGACACGAAAGCGUGGGGAGCAAACAGG